UGGGGAAUAUUGGACAAUGGGCGCAAGCCUGAUCCAGCAAUGCCGCGUGUGUGAAGAAGGCCUUCGGGUUGUAAAGCACUUUUAUCAGGAGCGAAACGCUGUCGGCUAAUACCCGGCGGAACUGACGGUACCUGAGGAAUAAGCACCGGCUAACUUCGUGCCAGCAGCCGCGGUAAUACGAAGGGUGCAAGCGUUAAUCGGAAUUACUGGGCGUAAAGCGUGCGUAGGCGGUUUCUUAAGUCUGCUGUGAAAUCCCCGGGCUCAACCUGGGAAUGGCAGUGGAUACUGGGAGGCUAGAGUGUGUCAGAGGGUGGUGGAAUUCCCGGUGUAGCGGUGAAAUGCGUAGAGAUCGGGAGGAACAUCAGUGGCGAAGGCGGCCACCUGGGACAACACUGACGCUGAGGCACGAAAGCGUGGGGAGCAAACAGGAUUAGAUACCCUGGUAGUCCACGCCCUAAACGAUGCGAACUGGAUGUUGGUCUCAACUCGGAGAUCAGUGUCGAAGUUAACGCGUUAAGUUCGCCGCCUGGGGAGUACGGUCGCAAGACUGAAACUUAAAUGAAUUGAC
rnacentral:rRNA from 1 species